UCUGGCGCAAGGUCCUCAGAGGUCCUUCCAACACCUUUAAACGCUAUCACUUAAAAAUGGAUUUUAUCAUUCCUUCUGAUAUUUCAGCCCCAAUAUUAGGUAGAGUACCCGGAUCACUGCCAAAUCCUCUUACCACCGUUGCAGGUGGCUGGUGUGCGGCAGAGCAAAGACUAACCUCCUGGAGUGGAACUGCCUGGUCCAGGGUACGAGCGUUUUCUAAGGCGUUUGAGGCAUAGGGCCAGACGAUCCUCCCGCAGGUAGGCCGUCUCCCCUAGUUCUGUGUGGGGAGAAGGCAAGGAAGCCCCGCUCCGUGGGCCGGUGGGAAGGCUGGCAAGCACCCGGUGUAUUUGAGUGACGUGUGCCUCCGUGUGAGUGAUGUGCAGGCGGCAGGGCCUCUGUCCUAUUGUGGGGCCUCACUCUUAACGGAUUUGAAUGCUGUGGGAGCACUGGGCAGCCAGGGGAU
rnacentral:lncRNA from 1 species